GUUCAUCCUAUGGUGUUGGUUCUCCCUUCAAUUUACCACCUUAUGAUUCUCUUCCUCCAAUACCAAAUACCCCAACAACACCUUAUUGUGUCAAUCCACCACCAGCCAAUGGAAAUUCUGGCCCAAUUAUAAACCAACCUACAAGCCCAUCAUAUGGCCCAAUUAUAAACCAACCUCCAAGCCCAUCAUAUGGCCCAAUUAUAAACCAGCCUUCAAGCCCAUCAUCUGGCCCAAUUAUAAUCCCAAGCCCACCACCCCAAUUUCUUCCUCCCAUUAUAAUUCCCAACACACCCCAAUAUGUUUCACCUAAUCCUCCCACAAAUGUUCCUAG
rnacentral:lncRNA from 1 species